ensembl:lncRNA
CCGAAUCCACCGUCUAGACCACGACAGUCACCUCCGGAAACCACGGCCUAGACCACGACAGUCACUCCGGAAACCACGGCCUAGACCACGACAGUCACUCCGGAAACCCACGGCCUAGACCACGACAGUCACUCCGGAAACCACGGCCUAGACCACGACAGUCACUCCCGAAUCCACGGCCUAGACCACGACAGUCACUCCCGAAUCCACCGUCUAGACCACGGCCUAGACCACGACAGUCACUCCCGAAUCCACCGUCUAGACCACGACAGUCACUCCCGAAUCCACCGUCUAGACCACGACAGGCAUUCCGGAAUCCACCGUCUAGACCACGACAGUCACUCCCGAAUCCACCGUCUAGACCACGACAGUCACUCCCGAAUCCACCGUCUAGACCACGACAGGCAUUCCAGAAACCACGGUCUAGACCAUGACAGGCAUUCCGGAAUCCACCGUCUAGACCAUGACAGGCAUUCCGGAAUCCACCGUCUAGACCACGACAGUCACUCCGGAAUGUCAUCGUCCAUUCUAGAACACAGCUCUCACUCCGGAAUUAACCGUCCAUCGUAGAACACAGCUUUUGCUUCUGGAAUCCACCGACUGUUCUAGAACCCAGCCGUCACUCCGUAAUCCAGACUUGGAACACCGCUCUCAUGCCAGAAUUAACCGUCCUUCCUAGGACACGGUUGUGGGCGGAGCCUGUGGACAGAUGAUCUUUAACGAGCACUUUCUUCUCCUGCUGCUGGACGAGCUGAUACUGUAGUUUAUCGCCAUUGGUUAAGAGAAAAGCUCGACUUUUGCGCACCAAAAACGUUGUUAUAUUUAAUGAGAUUUUAUUUUUUAAGUGGGAAAAAAAAGAAAAAAAAGAGAGAGAAGUUUAGUUUAGUUUAUAAAUCACCGUUUCUGGACGUUUCUGUUCUCCGCUGGCGUGUCAGGGUCUUUAAAGCGAGAUGUAUUAAAGGCUUUUAGUACAGUCCGAUCAAGCCUUGGAACAAAACAAGGCCUUCUCUCAGUCCAGUGACAUGUGGGCUGGAAUCCCUGAAUAACACACACACACACACACACACACACACACACACACACACACACACACACACACACACACACUUUGGAGCAGGUAAAGCAGUCGAAGCCUCCAUUAUUUAAAAAAUAAAUCUGACCUUUUUGGAGAAAACUACAAAAAGACAGGAAAUGAUCCGUGGUGUGUUCCAUUACAGCCGCGUUCACACCAGCGAGCUCGGUUUUUAUUUUAAAUCCGUAACGUUAAUGCAAUAACGCGACGAUCCAGAUUUAUUCUUUUCCUCAGAGCGAAAUAUAACAAAAUAAAAUAAAAAAGGUACUUCAAUAAUAACAUGCUCUCAUAAAAAAAAAAGAAAACCUCCUAUUUGUUAUUGGAACUUACAGACCACGCCCACAAGAGACGACAUCCACCGUCGUUCCACACCCCCAGGAGACGGACCCGCUGCACGGCCGCUCGUCCUGCUCGCUAGUGUGAAUGCACGCUAACGUAUUAAAAAAAAAAAAAAAAUUAGAGGCUUCACGCAAUCCUAUCCCCAAAAACGAUACGACCCCCCCCCCCCCCGCCGUUUUCUACGAUAUUUCAUUUCGAUAGAUGACGCCAUUAGCGCAUGUCUACACCGCUGGAUCUGGCUGCGUACUUCAUGUACGGGGUCGUAAUCAUCCGCUUAAACUUGCCUCUUCGAUACGUCCCAUCAAAUCUCCUUUUUUUUUUUUUUUUUUUUUUUUUUUUUUUUUAAAUCUUUUUUGGAAAAAAAAAGUUCACUCAGGUCAAAUACAGCUUUGUACUUUUUUUUGUUAAAAGCCGCUGGAGAAAAAUAUAACCAUCGUAAUGAAUGUAAACUCCGUCUUUUCAUUUUCAUAUCGUUACAUCAUCAGCCAGUCACAAUCAGAUCACCCCCGAAACCCCGCCCCCAGCGUAUCCAUGACGCUGCUGAGGUGAAAUGGUGCUUGUGUACGGAAUAAACCACUCUGUUCUAGGAAAAAAACAGCACUCGGCCUGUGAUCAUUUCCCUCGAACAGCACACCCUGGAGUCUUUUAUUCCUCCUGUACAACAGCAGCUUUUAUCCGUUUCUAGUCACGUUCAGCGUAGAAUGUCUGCGAAACACGUGACCCGUCCGCUAUAAACGCUCGGGGGGGACGGAAGCAGAAAACGCAAAGCCAAAAAUGUCCGUUACAGCUUUUACCUCCGACCGUCACGGAGCGCCGAUACUGGAGACUCCUUCCGUGACCGUUAAAUAAACGCCCCCUUAACAGAAAACGUCAACCGCGUUUGAACGACCAGACGUACGUGUCCCUCUGGAUGAGCUGUUACUAUAGUAAUGAUGAUCACGUGUUCGAGCGUGCUGCCGUUAUAGAAAACGCUUCGACGCCGUCUCGCGUCGUGUAACCUCGCACGUCGCGGGACGUCACGCUCGACACUUGUGACGGGGGAGGAGACGUCGGCUAACCGUACGUCCGUGCCACGACGCCCAUGGCCGACUCCGGUACAUCUUUUACUCGUCGUCCAGAGACUGUUAAUGUCGAAUACUAUUAAUCGUCUUCGUGUCUCGGUUUCCGUCGCCGCAGCGAGCGAAUUCACUCGCUUUAUCAGACGACAGUUAAUCACGCCGUGGUCAACAAACGCGUCUCGAGAAGCGUGAUCUAUUAAAACGUGGCUUUGCCUUACGGAAAAACAGCCAUCGGGUCCCUCAGCGUCGCUUCAUGUUGGAUAGAAGGAUUCGUGCGUUAACGAUUUAGUCGCCAUGUUUAAGAUGUUGUGCUUCUGUUUAUAUAUAUUUCUUUUCUCUAUUUAUUUAUUUAAUGCUGCUUCCUUUUCAUAUAUACAACAAAGAUUUAUUUUCCUUCUAAUAGUGAAGUCUGAAUUGUUAGAACAUGCGCGUGUGUGUGUGUGUGUGUGUGUGUGUGUGUGUGUGUGUGUGUGUAAUUAUCACAAUCUCCAGGUAUUUAUUUUAAGUAUAUUUUUACCUGCUGAUUUUUUUUAAGUGUGUGUGUGUGUGUGUGUGUGUGUGUGUGUGUGUGUGUGUGUGUGUGUGACUGCACGUACCAAACGCGUCCUCAUAUGGUCAGUCUGGAGUUUGUUACCAAACAUUUUUGCAUUUCAAGUGUAUAAUGUAAACGUGCUAAUUUCUAUAUUGUUACGUCUGUUGCGUAUGUACGCGUGUUGUUGUUGUUGUUGUUGUUGUUGUUGUUGUUGUUGUUGGUCAUAUCCACGCACUAGUUCUGAAAUGCGCUUCCUUUCAUGAAACAAAAUGUAGAGUUUGAGCAAAUCAAAUAAAAUAGUUUUCUAAGCGUUCUGUGCCGUCUGUACGACGUGGAGAACGAGGAGGUUUGACGGAUGGACGGCGCGAGCGUGGGGCGGCGUUCUGUAGACUGCUGCGUGUGGAAGGAGUGAAGCGCUCGAUGUGCUGUCACGCGAGACUGAUUGGAGGAGGGGGGGGAGGAGGAGGAGGAG